rnacentral:rRNA from 1 species
ACGAACGCUGGCGGCGUGCUUAACCCCUGCAAGUCGCACGGAAAGGCCCUGCUUUUGUGGGGUGCUCGAGUGGCGAACGGGUGAGUAACACGUGAGUAACCUGCCCUUGACUUUGGGAUAACUUCAGGAAACUGGGGCUAAUACCGGAUAGGAGCUCCUGCUGCAUGGUGGGGGUUGGAAAGUUUCGGCGGUUGGGGAUGGACUCGCGGCUUAUCAGCUUGUUGGUGGGGUAGUGGCUUACCAAGGCUUUGACGGGUAGCCGGCCUGAGAGGGUGACCGGCCACAUUGGGACUGAGAUACGGCCCAGACUCCUACGGGAGGCAGCAGUGGGGAAUAUUGCACAAUGGGCGGAAGCCUGAUGCAGCAACGCCGCGUGCGGGAUGACGGCCUUCGGGUUGUAAACCGCUUUCGCCUGUGACGAAGCGUGAGUGACGGUAAUGGGUAAAGAAACACCGGCUAACUACGU